UGCCGUUGUUUUUGAUUAAAAUUACACAUGUAAGUAUCCGCACACCAGUGAAAAUGCCCUUAAACAAAAAAGGAGCGGGUAUCAGGCACGACUUUCAGCCCAAAACACCUUGCUACGCCACACCCCCACGGGACUUCAACAGUGACAGACAUUAAGCCAUGGGCGAAACAGACCAAUAAAGCCUGACUUAGUUAUAAUCAAUCAGGGCCGGCAAAUCUCGUGCCAGCCGCCGCGGUUAUACGAGAGGCCCAAAACAACAGCAAACGGCGUAAAUUGUGGCUAGAAUAACAGCUAAUAAGUAAGAAAUAAACCACUACCUUACCGUAAAACACAGGUAAAAUGAAAUCUCUUACCCUAAGCAAUUUGAACCCACGAAAACUAAGAAACAAACUAGGAUUAGAUACCCUACUAUGCUUAGUUGUAAAUAAGACGACCCCCCCCCAACAUAAGCGUCCGCCAGAGGACUACAAGCGAAAAGCUUAAAACUCAAAAGACUUGGCGGUGUCCCAAACCCGACUUAGAGGAGCCUGUCCUAUAAUCGAUAACCCACGAUAAACCCGACCACCCCUUGCCAACCAGCCUAUAUACCGCCGUCGCAAACCUACCUUACAAAAGAACAACAGUAGGUACAACAGUAAAACCACUAAAACGUCAGGUCAAGGUGUAGCUAAUGAGGUGGAAGAGAUGGGCUACAUUCUUUAACAUAAAGCAGACAGAAAAGGCCAUGAAAUAGGCCUCAAAAGGAGGAUUUAACAGUAAGUUUGGCAAGAAAGCCAACCUUAAACCCGCUCUGGGACGCGCACACACCGCCCGUCACCCU
rnacentral:ncRNA from 1 species